rnacentral:rRNA from 1 species
AGAGUUUGAUCCUGGCUCAGGAUGAACGCUAGCGGCAGGCCUAACACAUGCAAGUCGAGGGGUAACGUGAGUGCUUGCACUUGACGACGACCGGCGCACGGGUGCGUAACGCGUAUACAAUCUACCUUUUGCUGAGGGAUAGCCCAGAGAAAUUUGGAUUAAUACCUCAUGGUAUCUAGAGACGGCAUUGUUUUUAGAUUAAAGGUAACGGCAAAAGAUGAGUAUGCGUCCUAUUAGCUAGAUGGUGUGGUAACGGCACACCAUGGCGACGAUAGGUAGGGGCCCUGAGAGGGGGAUCCCCCACACUGGUACUGAGACACGGACCAGACUCCUACGGGAGGCAGCAGUGAGGAAUAUUGGUCAAUGGACGCAAGUCUGAACCAGCCAUGCCGCGUGCAGGAAGACUGCCCUAUGGGUUGUAAACUGCUUUUAUACAGGAAGAAACACAUUCACGUGUGAGUGUUUGACGGUACUGUAAGAAUAAGGAUCGGCUAACUCCGUGCCAGCAGCCGCGGUAAUACGGAGGAUCCAAGCGUUAUCCGGAAUCAUUGGGUUUAAAGGGUCCGUAGGUGGAUCAAUAAGUCAGAGGUGAAAUCCUGCAGCUUAACUGUAGAACUGCCUUUGAUACUGUUGAUCUUGAGUCAUUAUGAAGUGGUUAGAAUGUGUAGUGUAGCGGUGAAAUGCAUAGAUAUUACACAGAAUACCGAUUGCGAAGGCAGAUCACUAAUAAUGUACUGACACUGAGGGACGAAAGCGUGGGGAGCGAACAGGAUUAGAUACCCUGGUAGUCCACGCCGUAAACGAUGGUCACUAGCUGUUUGGACUUCGGUCUGAGUGGCUAAGCGAAAGUGAUAAGUGACCCACCUGGGGAGUACGUUCGCAAGAAUGAAACUC